UGUAGUCUUCAUUCCGCUGCUCACCUAACACCGCUUCCUCUCUCGCGACGUCGACUGCUCGACGCCGACCACUCGAUGCCGAGCCUUACUGAUCCCCUGGACUAGCCUCUCCUCCCUGGGCGGUGGCCCCAACCAGGAGUUGACCCACGCAACGGUAGCUCGCAAGUCCCACCGAGCCGCGCCUUAACUCCUCCUCCUCUCCUGAUUUGCCGUGAGCCACUACUGGUGUCACCUCUUCUUCCCUUGGUUGGCUUAGCAGUGGCCAGCCUGUGCACUAACAUGAUUCAGCUAGACACCACUUCUUUUUCCCUCUCUUUGCCACGGGAUGCCACAACUCCUAUCACUGACAUCGUUCAUCGUAGGCACCGGCAAUACCCGACGAUCGCCACUCUUCUGGCCACGAGAAGAUCUAGGGCUGCAGCGAUCAUCUUCCUGAUAGAAUCCCGACCACCAUAGUAGGUCGGUGAUCCUUGAGGCAUUGUGUGCUGCUGGGAUUAGAUUCACAACUGCCAGAGCCAAGUUACGUGUCGUUGAGUGGUCAGCAGCCUCAGUUAGUUUCGACCACCAAUUUCCAGCAUCAACCUUCUCCGACUAUGAGUCUAUAAAGGUGCAAUCAGAUUUAGGACACUGAUUGAGAUGAGCAUCAUGACGUGGGAGUUAUCUAACAGGAUUACACACAUUAUAGGCAGGUACUUCUUGACUUGUUUACUUUGGCCUUAGUGCAUGAGCUAUAUUCGGAUAGUAGUUGUAUUUAUCUUGACUCUACUAAUAUUUUACCUGAGUUUGAUACUUUCCCUGCUUAAUCUUUGACAUGAUUGAUUCGAUAUUUAUAUAGUCUCUUAUUGUUAUCUAUGAUAUUUAGUAGAUACUGGAUAUCUUAUUUAUUUACAUUGAUUGCUAUAUAUACAUGUACUCUGUUGGACAUACUGGACUUAUUGUGGCAUAGUUGUUUGCUAUAUCUGUAGUGAUGAUUAUUUGUAUCUUACUAAUCAUAUCAUUGUAUGCAUGCCGGUGACUAUGUCUCCCUUGUGGUUGAUGUUGGUGCAGGUUGUAUUAAUGAUCAAAUUCAUAUUUUGAUGUAUAAAAAAGGUUAAAGUUAGAUUAUGUUGUUAUCUAAUCCUUUUACCAAGUGUGCAGGAUAUGAACUUGAUGGGUCUAGAGGACCAAACAUCAGGCUGAAGUCUAGUCAGGUCAAGAGGAUCAGAUUAUUCGCAGAAAGUCCAAUUGAGUUAGAGAGGACUAGACAGUUGGCAGGAAGUCCAGUCGGGUCGAGGAGGACCAGACGAUUGACUGAAGUCCAGAUUGGUUGAGAUUUGGCAGGAAGUCCUGGUGGGUCAAGGGAUUUGACAUCAAGGAAGCCUGUAAUUGGUAAGUGGAGGUAAGCAAUUGGAGGAGAGAUCCAGUGAGGAUGCGUUUUUAGUUGAGGGAACAGUAAGCGUCAAUCCGACUUAGAGUUUCAGUGAAACUCAAAUUUAGGAUCGGACAGUCUAGAGACUAUCAAAAAUUAUUAUACUUUAUAUAUUAUUGUUUCUUGUGCUAACCUGGUGUUGCAGAAAGUCAAUUGCUGGAAAAGGGAUGUCCAGGUGCCCGGAGCUUGUCAGGCGCCUAGAGGUUCGGGCCCUCGAAGGUUCGGGGGCUCGGAGUUGCUCCUGGUGCUUGGACAACUGGAUAGACACCCAGGUCAGUGGUUGGGUUGGAGCGCGUCGAUUGGCCAACCCAUGUCACCAGUUCGAGCGCUUGGAGGUAGAUAAAGUUUGCGGGAUAGACUUUGACGAGGUGCAACCAUGUCAGUACACUCCAAGCGCCUGGUGGUGGAUAUAGGCGCCCGGAUGGGGCUAUAAAAGGAGGGUUCAACUGGAAGUUUAAAAAGAACAUCCACUACAACUUUUUUUCUUGUGCACUGCUCUGAGAAGGCUCUUACGAUACUGAAAGGCUACUCUGACAACCGAUACUCAAGCUUUUACGCUACUUGUUGUCGGUAACAUUUUUGUUUAUAACAUUGUACUUAAAUUCCUGUAAUUCUUUUGAUAUUAUAGUGAUUAUCCAACGAAAGCA